ACUUUAUUUGCGCAGCAUAGGUGGGAGGCAUUGAGUUUAUUCUUGCGGGAAUUUAGGAGCCAUCAGUGAGAUACCACUCUGGUAAUGUUAGAUUUCUAACUUUGUAUCAUGAUCUGGUCAAAGAACAGUUUCAGGCGGGCAGUUUGACUGGGGCGGUCGCCUCCCAAAUGGUAACGGAGGCGUACAAAGGUUUCCUCUGAACGUGUAGAAAUCGUAUCUAGAGUGUAAAGGCAUAAGGAAGCUUGACUGUGAGACCUACAAGUCGAGCAGGGACGAAAGUCGGUCUUAGUGAUCUGACGGUGCUGAGUGGAAAGGCCGUCACUCGACGGAUAAAAGUUACUCUAGGGAUAACAGGCUGAA
rnacentral:rRNA from 1 species